AAUUGUCUCUGAGACUAAGCCAUGCAUGUCUAAGUAUAAAUUAAUUUUUACGGUGAAACUGCGGACGGCUCAUUAAAUCAGUUAUAACCUACUUGAUCGUGUGACUUUAUUCGGAUAACCCUAGUAAUUCUAGAGCUAAUACGUGCUAAAAGCCUUAACUUCCAGCAAUGGGGGAAGAGGUGUAUUUAUUAGAAACUAAAACCAAUCAGCUUCGGCUGUUUGAGAUGAUUCAUAAUAACUCGGCAAAUUACGGGAAAAUUCCUGUGAUGAUUCAAACGGAUUUCUGACCUAUCAACUUUAGAUGGCAAAGUAGGGGUUUGCCAUGGUGACAACGGGUGACGGGGAAUUAGGUUUCGAUUCCGGAGAGGGAGCCUGAGAAACGGCUACCACUUCCGAGGAAGGCAGCAGGCGCGCAAAUUACCCAAUGCUAAUUCGGCGAGGUAGUGACAAGAAAUACCAAUGUAGGACCCAACGGGUACUACGUUUGGAAUGAGAACAAUUUAAAAACCUUAACGAGGAACAAUUGGAGGGCAAGUCUGGUGCCAGCAGCCGCGGUAAUUCCAGCUCCAAUAGUGUAUAUUAAAGUUGCUGCGGUUAAAAAGCUCGUAGUUGGAUUACGAAGUGGUGUUUAAAUGUCAUUUUGGUUUGUUUGUCUUUCGGGGCAUUCAGGUCAACUUGGCUUUUACUCACUGUUGUCAUUGUCUUUGCCCAAGGUAUAUGCCUUGUGUGCAUGGCAUUGACCUUCUAUUUUAUGGUAAUGUUGUAUCUUUCGGGGUACAUUCAUUCCAUAUAGUUUACUUUGAAAAAAUUAGGGUGUUUAAAGCAGGCGAAAAGGCUUCGGAAUAUAUUAGCAUGGGAUAAUAGAAUACGAUCUAGGUCGUAAUUUGUUGGUUUCUACGGCUUAGGUAAUGAUUGACAGGGAUAGUUGGGGUCGCUCGUAUUGAGUUGUCAGAGGUGAAAUUCUAGGAUUAACUCAAGACGAACUAAUGCGAAAGCAUUCGGCAAGGAUGUUUUCAUUAAUCAAGAACGAAAGUUGGGGGAUCGAAGAUGAUCAGAUACCGUCGUAGUCUCAACUGUAAACUAUGUCGACCGAGGAUCCGGUAGCGUUACAUGGAUGACCUUCCGGGCACUCUGUGAGAAAUCAUAAGUAUUUGGAUUUCGGGGGGAGUAUGGUCGCAAGGCUGAAACUUAAAGGGAUUGACGGAAGGGCACCACCAGGAGUGGAAUCUGCGGCUUAAUUUGACCCAACACGGGAAAACUUACCAGGUCCGGACACAGUGAGGAUUGACAGAUUGAGAGCUCUUUCUUGAUUUUGUGGGUGGUGGUGCAUGGCCGUUUUUAGUUGGUGGAGUGAUUUGUCUGGUUAAUUCCGUUAACGAACGAGACCUUAACCUAUUAAAUAGCUGCGCGAACCCAGGUUCUUUAACCAUUCUCUCCUUCGGGGGGGCGUGGUAUCAUUA
rnacentral:rRNA from 1 species